CAGCAGCCGCGGUAAUACGUAGGUCCCGAGCGUUGUCCGGAUUUAUUGGGCGUAAAGCGAGCGCAGGCGGUUAGAUAAGUCUGAAGUUAAAGGCUGUGGCUUAACCAUAGUACGCUUUGGAAACUGUUUAACUUGAGUGCAAGAGGGGAGAGUGGAAUUCCAUGUGUAGCGGUGAAAUGCGUAGAUAUAUGGAGGAACACCGGUGGCGAAAGCGGCUCUCUGGCUUGUAACUGACGCUGAGGCUCGAAAGCGUGGGGAGCGAACAGGAUUAGAUACCCCUGUAGUCCCUGUCUCUUAUACA
rnacentral:rRNA from 1 species